AAUUGAUGGUUUGGGCAUUUACACAAAAGAUCCCUAAAGUGUUCCCAAGUCUCAAAAAAUUGUUCCCCAUUUAUGUUUGAGAAACUGGUGAUUGCCUUCCUAAGCU